rnacentral:lncRNA from 1 species
GAAUUGCUCAUUGAGCNCCACUUUAGAAUGUUUGACACAAUAAAAAGAAAUGGUUCAUAAUUAAAACUUCACAAACAAAAGAAAUGUCUUUAUUAUCACCAUUGGAGGUAAUAGUCGUAUAAUUCUUUAUGCAAGCUUAGGAAGACCAAUUUGCACAAGGAGUUUAUCAGCUCCAUAAUUUUGACUAUAACGGGAAGCCAACAGAUCAAGUAUAUAUGUACAGAUCAAGUAUAUAUGUAUGAGCAUGCGCAGGUAGGCAAGCAGUGCUCUUCUGAAGCACAAGCACCACCAACACAGGUUAAUUGAAUUGAAGUCAAAAAUUCGUUCCCCAAAAUAUUCAAAUGAAAACCUCUGGUUGAACCAUGAUUUUAAAUAUUGGAAGAUAAACAAAAGAACAAUGAAUCAAAAUUUCACAACAAUCAACAAGCACUGAUAAGUACAUAGCAGUCACACACCAACCCAAAAAAAAACCCGAUUAGAUGAACAAUAAAUCUACAUGUACUCAAAAUGGAAAAAAUCAAAAUCAAACCAACUCAGAUAGCACAAAAGAAAACAGAUCACGAUGCAAGCAUUAAUAAAUCAUAUUUCAAUUAGAAAAUGAAGCAAAUUAUACCCAUGGUAGCUAUCUUGCGCUCUAACUGUUCGAGAACAGGGGAAGCGAUUCUGAUCUGAGCUCUACGACUGACGGGCGAUCUCCAGUCAACACCGUGACUCCAAUGGAGAGCAGAUGAUCGAAGUGACGAUAAGAAGCUCCGCGAUCGAAAGCUCACGCUCGAAAGAGAAGAAAAACGAAUCGAAUCCUGCUUCGCUGAGGUUAGGUUCUAGAAGGGACAACAGAUGAAAAUGGCGCGAGGAGACGGCGUGCCAAAAUGAAAAUCGUGGAAAAAAAGAUGUGGCGAUAGAAAUCGCGACAUGUGUCCAAUCUAAUGUUAGACUUUAUAUACGUAGGAUAGGACAGGAUAGGAAACGUAAUCAAUAUAAACAAUAAUAAAUUUUGAAAAGGAAUAAAAAUAUCUGUUGACACAUAAAAAUUCAGUCCAAAUCGAAC